ACGGUUACAUCACGUUGAUACAUUGGUUGCCGUACGAUCCCCGAAGUUAAGCAAUGUCGAGCCUGGUCGGUACCUAGACGGGUGGGCUCUUGGGAAUACCAGGUGCGGUAA